GGGCCCGCACAAGCGGUGGAGUAUGUGGUUUAAUUCGAUGCAACGCGAAGAACCUUACCAGGGUUUGACAUCCUGCGAAUCUCUUGGAAACGAGAGAGUGCCUUCGGGAACGCAGUGACAGGUGGUGCAUGGCUGUCGUCAGCUCGUGUCGUGAGAUGUUGGGUUAAGUCCCGCAACGAGCGCAACCCUCGUCCUAUGUUGCCAGCACGUAAUGGUGGGGACUCGUAGGAGACUGCCGGGGUCAACUCGGAGGAAGGUGGGGACGACGUCAAGUCAUCAUGCCCCUUACAUCCUGGGCUACACACGUACUACAAUGCUACGGACAAAGGGCAGCAAACUCGCGAGAGCUAGCAAAUCCCAUAAACCGUGGCUCAGUUCAGAUCGUAGGCUGCAACUCGCCUACGUGAAGGAGGAAUCGCUAGUAAUCGCAGGU
rnacentral:rRNA from 1 species